CUACGGGCCGCUGCAGUGAGGAAUAUUGCACAAUGGGGGGAACCCUGAUGCAGCAACGCCGCGUGGAGGAUGACGCAUUUCGGUGUGUAAACUCCUUUUAUAUGUCAAGAAAAUGGCGGUAGCAUAUGAAUAAGCACCGGCUAACUCCGUGCCAGCAGCCGCGGUAAUACGGAGGGUGCAAGCGUUACUCGGAAUCACUGGGCGUAAAGGACGCGUAGGCGGGUUGGAAAGUCAGGUGUGAAAUCCUACAGCUUAACUGUAGGACUGCACUUGAAACUUCUAAUCUAGAGUAUGGGAGGGGGAGAUGGAAUUAGUGGCGUAGGGGUAAAAUCCGUAGAUAUCACUAGGAAUACCUAAAGCGAAGGCGAUCUCCUGGAACAUUACUGACGCUAAGGCGUGAAAGCGUGGGGAGCAAACAGGAUUAGAUACCCCCGUAGUC
rnacentral:rRNA from 1 species